GAUGAACGCUGGCGGCGUGCCUAAUACAUGCAAGUCGAGCGAACGGACGAGAAGCUUGCUUUUCUGAUGUUAGCGGCGGACGGGUGAGUAACACGUGGAUAACCUACCUAUAAGACUGGGAUAACUUCGGGAAACCGGAGCUAAUACCGGAUAAUAUUUUGAACCGCAUGGUUCAAAAGUGAAAGACGGUCUUGCUGUCACUUAUAGAUGGAUCCGCGCUGCAUUAGCUAGUUGGUAAGGUAACGGCUUACCAAGGCAACGAUGCAUAGCCGACCUGAGAGGUGGAGCGCCAACAGGGGAACUGAACACGGUUCCAGCCCCUGCGGGGAGGAGCAGUGAGGGAUUCUCCCGAAAGGGGCGAAAGCCGGCCGGAGCAACGCCGGGGGAGUGAUAAAGGUUUUGGGAGCGAAAAACUGUGUUAUUAGGAAAAAAAAUAGGGGUAAGUAACUGUGCACAUCUGGAGGGGACCAAAUAAAAAAGCCAGGGCAAACUACGGG
rnacentral:rRNA from 1 species